CAUGCGUCAGCGGGCCGAGGAUAAGACUCCCAUAUAAAAGGUCCCUCGCGCAAAUGCCCUGAGAAAAGAAGAGAUAAGAGCGCCAGUCGCAAAAACCCUCUCUUACGUUCUAGGGUUUCUCCUCCUCCUUGCGAAGGGCAAUCCGAAAUGGCAGGAAGAGGCCGAGCACCCCGUCAUGUUCUUGAUGAGAGACGAGGUUAUCCUGCUGUUCAUGAAGGCCCUCCAUUCAUUCGAGGUCCUGUACCUCGGCCACCCCAUCCCGCACUGUUGGAGGAAGAGCUUGAAAUCCAGCAUGGUGAAAUUCGGAGGCUUGUGGUGGACAACCGGAGGCUAGCUGAAGAUCGUAUGGGUUUGCAGCGGGAACUAGGUAUGGCAAAAGAGGAACUGCAUCGCAUGAAUAUUGCCAUUUCAGAAAUCCGUGCAGAGAAGGAAGCCCAUUCUAGGGAAUUGAUUGAGAAAGGCUUGAAGCUAGAAGCUGAUUUACGAGCAACCGAGCCUUUGAGAAAUGAGACUAUACAGUUGCGUGCAGAAGCUCAGAAAUUGACUGCCUUGAGACAGGAACUGGCUGGGCAAGUUCAAAAUCUCUCGCAAGAGCUGGCUAGGUUACAAGCUGAUAAUCAGCAGAUUCCUCAUUUGAGAGCAGAGAUCGAUGGUUUACAUCAGGAGCUUGUGCGUGCUAGGACUGCUUUUGAGUUUGAGAAGAAGGCAAAUGUUGAGCUGGUAGAACAGAGGCAGGCAAUGGAGAAGAACCUGGUUUCCAUGGCUCGUGAAGUUGAAAAGCUAAGAGCAGACUUUUCAAAUGCCGAUAAUAGACCAUGGGGUGCAGGUGGAGCAUUUGGGGUGAAACGUGGUAGCCCAGAGGGGGGCUUUGCUGCUUCAUAUGGGGAUGGAUAUGGACUUCAUUCGGGUGCUGCUGACAAAGGUCCUCUAUAUGGCAUGGGUUCUGGUUCUUGGGGUGCAUUCGAGAAGUCUCGCCUCGGACGUCGUUGAAAUCCAGUUGAUUUGCCAUUCGAUAUGAAGGAAGUGUGUUCCCUGUCUGGACUGCUGGUGCUUCUAUAUUCAAGGGGUUGGAGUUGUUAUAAGUAUCAAAAGAUGCAUGCAUAGAUGAUGUCAUCAUGUUAUAGUGACAUUGGGUGCAACGAGAGGAGAAAGGCCACUUAAUGUUCCUCUCUCUUCCAGAAGAUCACUAAUGUUAACCAUCUUGGCAGAAUUUAGCUCCUUUGCCAAGCUUGUCUCCAACCCUUUCACCUUCUCCACUAAUGCAGGCAUCACAUCAACAUUCGAUGAUGGCCCCUCAUCCAUACCAGAGGAUGCUGGGUAUCCCAUGAGGCCUCUCACAUUUAAUGAGAACCUUAUUAUAUUGGUACUGAAGCAAAAACUGCAAAAAUGGUUCUUGUGAAAAGUGCUUCUUCAAUAGGGAACUGGAAGGGGAGUUGCUUGAUGUGCCGGUGGAGUGCGACAGCCAUAGGCAUGCACUCUGCAGUUGUACAAAUGGUAUACACGUUACUAAAAACUAAACCAUCCAAAUUAUGGGUCCCGCUGCUGAUAGUUCAUAACUACAAGUAAGAUUGGUCGAUGAUCCUAACCUGUGAUUAAUAGACAUUGUUGGUUGAAGUAGGGAUGUUGACUGUCCGUUAGAUGUCUCCACCAGUAGGCCAGUUAGGACAUCAAUCAAAACUGUAGUUUUGGUUUUAUCACCCAUGUAAAGUGGGGGCAUGAUUUGGAUGAUUUUAGUUUGUUACACAUGGCCGGUGUACAAUUUCUGAGUGCAUGCCUGUGAAGUAUCUCAACAUCAGACUUUCAGAGUUUCUCAAAAUGGAAAUGUCUCCAGCUUGCAUUCCUGGCGUUGCUCAGUGUCCCUGCUUGUGAAUUUUAUAUAUGUUGAACGCUGCAGGCCGUAGUAACCAAAUGGGUUGUCAUCUCAUCCAUGGGCUAAUGGCCAUGAGUUGCAGGAAACUUGGCCCAGUGAUAUACUCUGGUAUUGUAUCUCUACAAGUGGUGCUCAUGAUAUGGCAACCUAGAUAAUUGAUCUAGGCUCUGGGCGUGGAUGGACGGUUCCCUGAAAAAUUUUCUUGCUAGUACUGAUUUUACAUUUCUGACUUCUGUCCAGGCCGAAACACCAAACUGCCAAAAAAAAGAAGUUAAUGAAUGCUGAUCCCUGUGGUCCCAUUCCUGGAUUUAUGGGAGGGGUUUGAGGGAUUUUUGUUUAUAUCACUCUUUUUUUCUUUUUUUUUUUUGCAAUUUCUCCCCUUCUCUGAGGUUUUCUAACAUUUCUCCCUCGUGGAGAGAUGGUUGUGAAAAAGGUAGAAUCAUUUGAUACUCCAGUUGCAUAUGAUGAUUGAUACACAGGUACUUAAAAAUGGUAACACGAGACAUUACUCAACGACCUAAAAUUAGGUCCCAAAAGUUAAUGUGUUGCACAAUAAGAAUCAUCUGUGAAUGCCAGAUAUUUGUUAAAUAGGACCAUUGGAUAUCUGUCAGUUUUGUCUGUCCAAUAAAUGUUCACAAAUCUACAGUUAGGUAAUCAAAUAAUUAUAUUUUGUUUGUUUA